CUUGUCUCAAAGAUUAAGCCAUGCACGUGCAAGCACAAGCUGAAUUAAAGUGAAGCCGCGAAUAGCUCAUUACAACAGCCGUGUGUUUCUUGGAUCUCAUCCUUACUUGGAUAACUGUCGAAAUGCGAGAGCUAAUACAUGCAAGAAGCCCUGACCUUUUGGGAUGGGUGCACUUAUUAGAGCAAAACCAAUCAGCCUCGGCUGUCACAUUGGUGAAUCUGAAUAACUGAGCGGAUUGCACUGGUCCUAGUACCGGCGACAUAUCCUUCAAGUGUCUGCCUUAUCAACUUUCGAUGGUAGUUUAUAUGCCUACCAUGGUUGUAACGGGUAACGGAAAAUCAGGGUUUGAUUCCGGAGAGGGCGCCCGAGAAAUGGCGACCACUUCUAAGGAAGGCAGCAGGCGCGUAACUUACCCACUCUCAGAUUGAGGAGGUAGUGACGAAAAAUAUCGAGCUNNNAGUCUUUCGAUUAUCAGCAUCGGAAUGAGAACAAUAUAAAU
rnacentral:rRNA from 1 species